UACGAAGGGUGCAAGCGUUAUCCGGAUUCAUUGGGUUUAAAGGGCUCGUAGGCGGUUUGUCGCGUCGGGAGUGAAAACACGGGGCUUAACCCCGUGCCUGCUUCCGAUACGGGCAGACUAGAGGUAUGCAGGGGAGAACGGAAUUCCUGGUGUAGCGGUGAAAUGCGCAGAUAUCAGGAGGAACACCGGUGGCGAAGGCGGUUCUCUGGGCAUUACCUGACGCUGAGGAGCGAAAGUGUGGGGAGCGAACAGG
rnacentral:rRNA from 1 species